rnacentral:rRNA from 1 species
CAGUCGCCGCGGUAAUACGAAGGGUGCAAGCGUUACUCGGAAUUACUGGGCGUAAAGCGUGCGUAGGUGGUGGUUUAAGUCCGUUGUGAAAGCCCUGGGCUCAACUUGGGAAUUGCAGUGGAUACUGGAUCUCUAGAGUGUGGUAGAGGAUAGUGGAAUUUCCGGUGUAGCGGUGAAAUGCGUUGAGAUCGGAAGGAACGCCCGCGGCGAAAGCGUGGUUCUGGACCCCACCCGACGCUGAGACGCGAAAGCCAGGGGAGCGAACGGGAUUAGAUACCCGCGUAGUCCCUGUCUCUUAUAC